AUGGUUGUCGUCAGCUCGUGUCGUGAGAUGUGGGUAAGUCCGCAACGAGCGCAACCUUGUGUUUAGUUGCAAACAGGUCAAGCUGUGCACUCUAGACAGACUGCCGUGGACAACACGGAGGAAGGUGGGGAUGACGUCAAAUCAUCAUGCCCCUUAUGAUCUGGGCUACACACGUGCUACAAUGGCCGGUACAACGGGCAGCGAAGGAGCGAUCCGGAGCGAAUCCUAAAAAGCCGGUCCCAGUUCGGAUUGCAGGCUGAAACUCGCCUACAUGAAGUUGGAGUUGCUAGUAAUCGCGAAUCAGAAUGUCGCGGUGAAUGCGUUCCCGGGUCUU
rnacentral:rRNA from 1 species